rnacentral:lncRNA from 10 species
GGGGUCCCUGGGCUUUCCCCUAGGGUCCCAUCAGCUGCUUAUGUUCUACCUUCUGACGGAUCACAGGAGGAGCCUGCAGCGGAGGAGCCUCCUCCUCCUCAGCAUCAGACCUAAAGGGAGUGUCCUGCCUGAAGGACCGGCUCAAGGUCGCACUAACAGCUCUUGCUAACUCCUGUUCCAGGCUGUUUAUCUGGGCCUCCAAGUACCCUGCUUGCGCCUGGAGGUCUCUCACCCCCAGGUCCUGCUCAAAGCUGUGCACUUGGGCCCCCAGGCAUGCGGCUUGCUCCGGAAGGUCCCUUACCUGUGGCACUGAGCAUGUACUUCCUGCAGUGCAGUUAGAAAUGCCCAUCCGACUCUGCUUGCAAAGAAUACGAGUUUUGAAUUUUUGAAUUGCUGUUAAAACUUUCAUCAUGAACACUGAAGUGAGUGAAAAGAGACUUUUGCAGUCAUUUUUUUGCUGGCUGCAGAUGACAGUGACACCCUGGGAGUUGAGAAAUGCUUGUAAGAUGGAAGGAGGCUGUGUCCCUGAAUGAUCACCUGGAAGAGAGCCACCUUAGCCAAUGAAACUCCUGCUAUGAAUGUUUGCUGAGCAAGAAAUAUACUUACUGCUUUAUAUGCCUUUGAAGCUAUAGGUUCAUAUUGUUACCACAAUUUAAAGUGCUAUAAUAAAAAGAGUUCAGGAAGCAGGCACAUGGAAGCAAUAAGAGCAACAAACAUUUACACAGGUAUUGUUUAAGUGCUUUUGUUUAACAAUCACUAUAGCUAUUAGUAGCCUCAUUGUAAUAAUGAGUAAAGCUUAGAGAUUAAAAAGUAUUUCUUAUAACACAGUUAUUUGAGAAGACUGCCCAGCUGAAAACUUGGCCUAUCUAAUUAUAAAGAAGAGCCAGUGCAUGUUCCUAAAAUACUAGGGUGAUAUGAUUAGAAUAAGCUGGCUUAUCACCACAGAUCCACUUAAGGGCAAGUUACAAAUAAGUCGAUGUUUACAAAAUCUUGAGAGUCCACUGAGGCAUAUUACCAUAUGUUUGCCAGGAAACUCUUUUUAAUUGUAUAGGUAAUAUUCACAUUAUAGAAACAUUUUUUAAUAAAUAGAAAAAAUCUUUUUCAUCAACCCACAAUCUUAAUAUAAUCCUUGUUUGUAUUUUGAUGUACUUCUUUCUAUACUAUUUUUCUUUUUCUUUUCUUUUUUUUUUUUUUUUUUUUUUUGAGGUUGAGUCUCACUCUAUUGUCCAGGUUGGAAUGCAGUGGCCUGAUCUCGGCUCACUGCAACCUCCAUCUCCCGCGUUCGGUGGAUUCUCAUGCCUCAGCCUUCUCAGGUCCCUGGACCAUGAAGGGCCACAUCCAAGGAGCUACCCCAGGAGGCCUCUCAUUUGCAUUUGUCCCCGCUAAUGCAGGACAGAGAUCAUGGAAGUUGGGCCCGACUGGAUGAGAUUUGGGGGUCUUUGGAAGUGGAGAAUGUGUUUGCCCUGGGGAAGAGAGGUGAUGUCUAGGAGACCUCUUCACUCAGGGCAAGCUCUAUGACCUGCUUUGACUCCAGAAUGUGGUAGAAGUGGCAUCACAUAAAUUGCAGAGCCUAGGCUUCAAGAGACCUUGCAACUUGCCUCUCACUGACUUGAAGUGCUCCCAUCAGAGCAUCUUGUAAGGAGCAGGUGGAGCAUGUGGACAAGCCAUCCCCACCAGCCCCUGAGACAUGUGAGAGAGGCCAGAACAGGCCAUCCGGACCCCACUGUGCUGGUGGAUGAGACAGCAGAAGGAAUAUCAACCUACCAACAGAAUCCUGAGAAAUGCUCACUCUUACUUCAAGCUGCUGCAUUUUGAUGUUAUGAAACCAUAAAUAACUUAUGAAGUCAUCUUUGCUGACUUAAAGUUUUCCAUAACUUUAUUAUAACAUAUCAAAAUUAUGAAAAAUGUGAAAAGUAGAAAACUGAUGAAUUUUGCUUCUUCAUAUGGUCUUUAAGAAUCUCAAAGGCACUGAAGUUUUUUAUCUUUUCUGUCUUAGAAUAAAAAACCUUGAAUGAAAAUCUGCUUCUUGGAAAAGCAGCAAGGUUUAUGCAGAGGCAAUCUGGUAUUUGUGUGCACUGGCAGCUGAUCAUACCCAGCAUGCACGCACUCUCAGGGCAGAGUCUGAUGCCCCACAUAAUGGGGCAUGGUAAGGACUCCCAUGUCCUUGAGAUAAAAUGAUAAGGAAAAUACACACUGCUAUUAGAAUAACAGGCCCAGCUUCUGCACAUUUUAAUUCCCAAAGUUUUCAUGAAAGACAAUGAUUUUUUGGUACCAUGUUUAACUCUACAAGAAUCAGUAGUGAAAACUAAAAAUGAUACUUUGUGAAAGUUCAUUAAUUUUGUUUUCAGCCAGUGGUGGCCUUGGUCAGAUAGAAUCAAAUCUAUGAUACUUUUUAUCAGAAAUGCUUAUACUGUGUACAAACCCAAAGUGAUGGCUUUCAAAGAUUGAAUUUGAUUAUUUUCUGUAUGGUGCAGAUGAAAAAUUACUACACAGGAGAAGGUGGGUUGGAGGUGCUCACGAGUAACCAGGAAACAGUCUGAAGUUUUUCUGAUACUUCUCCUUGGUCCAACCAAAUGUGAGAUAUAAACACAAACUUGGGAUUCCGUUCUUAUGUUUUGGUUGUUUCAGUCUUUACAGAUGUAUCGAAAGGCUGUCCAAAAAUGUCUGACUUCUGUAGUGUGCCUUCGUAGCACUAGAGGGUUCUGCAGCUGUGAAACUGAAGGCAUUGGCAAGAAGCCCUCCAUCUUCAAACCACUUUCUGCUAAGGUGUGGCUCUAUAAAACCACUAUGAGCUGGGCUUCACUGAGACUGAGUUGUUUCAGUAGGAUCUUCCGGAAAAACAUGUUCCCUCCUUUACCUGGGUUGUCAUUCUGAGAACAAUCACACCUCCAAUUUUGGCUUACUAAGCAAUAGCGUUUUAAUGAUUUUAAGCCAGGAUUUGCUCCUCCUUUCCUCAGUAUGAGAGCUUAACCACUGGAGGAACCAAGAAUUCAUGCUGGUUGGGUUCUGAUUCCACUUUAACUUACUGUAUAGCCUCAUCCCUUGUUUUUCUGGAGAUUCUCUUUUUCUGCUUCACUGAUUUAUAUUUACAUUAAAAUCAAAUGAGGCCAUGUUUCUGAAAUCACAUUGUCCCUACAUGGUCAUUACAAUGAGUCUGUAAUGUGACUGAAAGACAGCCAUGGAUACAGGUAGAGGAUAUCAGGCAAUUGAAUGCUCAUCAAGCAUUCAAUUCAGGGCAAAUGGCAUAAGGUAUGCAGUUGGCCUCUUCUGAUAUCUGUGUCUUAAUCCUUUCUUUAGCCUCUGUUUUCUGGACCAAGGCUAAGAUAUUUUCUGGGCACAGUGGCUCAUGCCUAUAAUCCCAGCACUCUGGGAGGCCAAGGUGGGAGGAUUUCUUCAGCCCAGGAGUUCGAGACCAGCCUGGGGAACAUAGGAGACCUCAUUCCUACAAAUAAUAAAAAAAAUUAGCCAGCUCUGGUGGCGUGUGCUUAUUGGUCUCAGCUACUUGGGAGGCUGAGGUGGGAGGACUGCUUGAGCCCAGAAGAUCGCAGCUGCAUUGAGCCAUGAUUGUGCCACUGAACCCUAGCCUGAGCAACAGAGCAAGGCCUUAUCUCAAAAAAAAAAAAAAAUUCUGAGCCUUCUAAUUUUUUUUUUCUUUAAUUAACUUUCUGUAAGCCCAGCAAGUAAAUAAAACACUUAUUUUAUGAAGCAUCUAGUUGCUUUUAGGGGAAGGGACAUCCUCCGCAUAGUAUCUAGGCCAGCUCACUUUCUUCUCCUUACUGUUGAUUUACUCUCUGCCAUUGAAUCUUCUGUGCCAAUGUUGGAUUAAUGUUUCCGGGCCCUACUUUCAUCAUGCUCCUCUGUAUUAUCACCUGUUUUGGUUUACAGCAAUGAUUUUUAAGGUAAGGCAUGGUGUGUCCAUCAUAGUCACAUGGGAACUUUUUCAAGCCAUAUUAAAAAUGUCCCCCAUUCAUCAUUCUGCCCCUGGAACAGUGUGUGCAGUUGGGACCUUCAAGUAAAUCUACUUUGUUGAAACCCACUGAUCAGCAUGGUGUAUUUCAUAACUCUUUGACUUACAUUCAAGAAAUUCCUUAACCUGAACUCCAUUUUACUCUUUUUUUCAUUCAUUCAAAUUAAGAAUAUUGCCUGAACAUGAAUUAUCUGCUAGACGUUUUUCUAGGUGCAGGAGGAGUAAGGAUGAACAUAACUAGCCAUAACUAUAGCUAUCAAUUGUGGAGUGUCUGUUAUGUGCCAGGCACUUUUAAGUGACCUACUCGAUUUACUUGCAUGACAAACUGUGAGGAAAAGCCCAAUAUUAUCCCCUAUUAACAGAUGAGGAAACUGAAGCACAAACAGCAUGAAUAGUUUGUUCCAGAUUGCAUCAUAAGAGGCACAGCCAGCUUUCCUACCAAAGCAGCCCUGGCCCAGAGUCCGUACUCCCUCCUCCCCUGCCUCUGCCUGGUGGAUAAGGUCACCCUGGCCUUGUGGAACUUAUGCUCUAGUGGGGACAAAUAGUUAUAGAGAAUGACCGAUGUUACUAAGAAAAUAAAAGCUGGUAAGAAAACAGAAGCACUGAGGAGGUGACUGAAGUGAGCAUUUAUAAUUUUAUGUUAUAUCCAUUGUAAAAUAUAAGUUUAGCUUUCUCAUACCAGAAGCAGGGCUCAGUCCACCCUUGACUCAGUUUCCAAUACUGUUCCCCAUCAGAAUGGCUCUUGCUGGUGGCCAGAAGUAAAACUUAGAAAUAUCUCUCUCAGAGACACCUAAGCAGGCUGGGCUCCCCGGUUUCCUGUUGCUUCCUUUAAAGAAGCUCUUCAGACAUCUGCACAAGAACUCAAAGUGACCACCUCUCAGCCCAGCAUGACCUACUGGAACUAAUGCCUGCUUGCUUUCAACCUACCAAUUAAAGCUCCCCAGGAAACCUGUUUAGAUAACACCCUGGACCCAAGAAAGGUGCUGGGCCAUGGGUUUCUUCUCUCUCUCCCUAUCUGUGCUCCCUGACCCCCUGUGUGUGUGUGGUCUCUAGGCUUGCCUUCUAUCCCUGAGGGUCUGUAAAUACUAAAAACACUUAAACUUUCAUAUUGUAGUUGUGUCUUUGAAGCCAGGUCCCCAUCCCGUACCUUGAGGGCAAGGCCUCCUGGAAGGGACCCAUGUAGGUGGAUCCCCUGCUGUCCAGGCCUCUUAGCUGCUGGGGUAGUGACCAGUUAAGUGGAUAGAGUUUCAUUCAAAACAAUAAUCAUUCAACUGUAUCUCACAUCAAACCUCUGCUCUAGUUUAUGUAUCUACUUUAUGUUCUUAGAAGACUGUGCAAACACAUUGUCUUUUUUGAGUACCUGUCUUGUCCUAGGUACUCUGCUUGGUACGGGGAGAGACGAAUCUUCUGUCUUCAGGGGCUUCCACUCCAGCAGGGAGAACAUGACUAAUAGUGACUGCCUGCUGCUGUAGGUAAUAAGUGGCUCCCACUAGGCCCUCCAUUUGGUGGCCCCCUGUCCCUCUCACUGGUGGAAGCCUACCUGUCCUCUAAGGACCAGCUCACUAAUGUCCUAGAUCCUCACGGACCAGAUUGCUUUUCUCAGAACUGAAGAGCACUUACUAAUGGCACCUCUUGUCAUAUGCCAUCCCAGGAUUUGAAUUUUUUUUUUUUUUCUGUCUUGUGGCCCAAAUAAAUCCUGAACUCCUCGAGGGCUGGGAGUGUAUCUAGCAGUUUCCUUAUACUGGACUAAUCAGAUGCUGACUAGGUAGCAGUGAGAAAAAUCUAGAAAUUCCCUUUUAGCCACAUCGACUUACACGAGGGGAUGUGUGUAAGGUACUAUAGCUCUUUAAACAAGAGGUGGUCUCGUUUGAAGGGUGGAUUGAUGUGGGUGUUCAAAUGAUGUCACAAGUGGCUGGUUUCUCUGUCUCCAUUUCUUUUUUUUUUGGCUCCAUUUCCAAAUUUCCCAGAUAGCACAGCAAGUUGGCCCCAGCAGCUCUAGACACUCCAUCUUCUCAGGGCAUAGCCAACACAAUAAAAUAUUUCAAGUUCCUGAAAGAUAGCUGAAAUAAGCCCUAGAAGUUUCUGGAUUGGGAGCAGAGCCAAACCUGCCAGCUCACAUAGAUGAGGGCAGGGAAUAGGGUGUCUCACGAUCACAGUGUCCUGCCUUCUGAUUUGCCUGGGACUGUCCUGUUUUGGCACCAAAAAUAUCUGCAUCCUAGGAAACCCUCAGGUCCUGGGCAAAUUCAGACAGUGACUUGCCCUAUCAGAAGCAAAGCAAGGUGCCAUUACCUGAGGUGGGCAAAUUCAGACAGUGACUUGCCCUAUCAGAAGCAAAGCAAGGUUGCCAUUACCUGAGGUGGGCAAAUGGAGGCUGGGUGGCCAGUGAGUGACCAAUAACCCCAGCAUUGGAGAGAGUGGAGCAGCCCUUCAAGAAGUUCCAACCUCUGCCCAGGACUGGUUUUACCAACUUCACUAGGCUUAGAAUCGUAGGAAGUCUAUUUGGGACUUGCGAGUCUCACGUAUUCCUGCCUAAAUGUUUAUGGAUACCUGUUUAGAGCUGAAAUCUUUUCAGCUCCCAUAAUAUGAGGGAAUUAGGUCUCAAAGAAGAUCAUGUAUUUUGAUCAGACCUUAUAGCUGAGCAGUGGAAAGAAAAAAAAUCAGUGUGAGAUCUCCCAGGGUUCCGCAGGAGUGGCUUCCUUAGUCCAACUGGCAGCCUAUCCUGGAAUAUUGCCUGGGAGAGAGGUUAGUUGCUUUUCCUGGUGCUAGGAACUGAAUGGUUUUACAUAUUGAUCAAUGAAAAUACUUAUUUGGCCUACAAUAGGUGCAAAAAUACUGCUAAUUACUAACAGUAUCUCUUCUUUGCUGCGUGCCAGACACUCCACUGGGCAUUAUGCAGUUAAUAUGUACCAUGAAUUUCCCGUGGUUAGCAAUGAUGUCAGGCAUAGAAAAGACAUGAAAUUAUGAUGUCAAAUGAAUAAACUGGAAAAAGGAAUUUCUUGAAUUUUCUCCAGCUGUCCUAAGAAUGUAUCUAUACUUUGAUCCUGGCCUACCUUUUCAACAUCUAAACUUUAUUCCCCCAAGCUUCUAGAUAUUCAAAGUUAAGUAUUAAAUAAAAUCAGUAAAUAUAUACAAGCUUGUUUGGCCAUUCUGAAUAAGGUUAUAUUUCCACCACACAAUCUCCAAAUUCUCUAGCAGAAGGGAUCAGUAUGUUAUAGAUACCCCCUUUCCUUCCCUCCCUGGCAAGCCACCACAUCUGUUAUGGGUACUCAAUGCAGUGGCUGCACCUGGGCCUCACUCAUUAAGCAGUUGUUGAUUGAGUGACUGAAUUGAAUGCCUGAUGAGCUCGCAAGUAAGAUUCAGACUGUGCCUGCAAACUAAUAGGAUCCCUCCGCUUUUUAUUCACUACUGCUGAGGUAGAUCUCAGGCCAGCCUGAAGUUUAGGUCUACUGAGAAAUAAUAAGCCUCAAAAAUCGAGCUUUGCUUCACCCAGUCUCCCAGUAAACACUAAGAAAUGUUCACAUUAUUUACACAUCCUAGACUGCCUGUCUUAUGGACCAAAUGUUUGUGUUCUCCCCGCAAUUUAUACAUUGGAAUCCUAACCCUCAAUGUAAUAGCAUUAGGUGCUGGGGUCUUUGGGAGGUGAUUGGCUAAUGGACCUGGAGCCCUCAUGAUGGGAUGAGUCCCCUUAUCAGAAGAGACCUGAGAAGGCUUGCUUCCUCUCCCUGUGCUCUUCAUGAUGUGAAGACACAAGAAGACAGCCAUCUGUGGGCCAGGAAGAGGUCCUCACUGGAACCCAACCAUGCUGGCACCCCAAUCUUGAAUUUCUAGCUUCAAGAACUUGGGAAAUAAAUGUAAGCCAGCCAGCUUAUGGAUUUGUUACAGCAGCCUAAGCUAAGUCAGAGUCUCUAGAACAGCUGGUCUGGGGCAGCGGUGAAGGGAGGUGGGUGGGCAUAUGACCCUGCCCUGCACAUGAAUGGCAAAGGCAACUGGAGAGCCUCUCCCUUUUGGUGAGAUCCCCAGUCCACAAGGGCAUGUUCAUCCAUAGCUUUACUUCCCGAAGCAAAUUCUGGUUCCUGGGGCCUGUGCCUCCAUAGAUGGCAUGAUCUGCAGCCUCCUGUGGUAAUUUACCCUCUUCCUAAAUUUCUGAGUCUUCACAUUUAAGCAAUCCUAGUUAGAUAUCCUCUACCUGUAUCCAUGGCUGUCUUUCAGUCACAUUACAGACUCAUUGUGAUGACCAUGUAGGGACAAUGUGAUUUCAGAAACAUGGCCUCAUUUGAUUUUAAUGUAAAUAUAAAUCAGUGAAGCAGAAAAAGAGAAUCUCCAGAAAAACAAGGGAUGAGGCUGUACAGCAAGUUAAAGUGGAAUCAGAACCCAACUGUAGUCCAUUAUUUGUUUCAAUCCUGCUCUUUUCUACCAUAUCACCCAGUUUCCAAAUCGUUCAGCAAAUUGCCAUGGUCAAUGGGAUUAACCUUUCCCUUUUAUUCUCAGGAAAUCUCCCUUGUCCAUUUUGCAAGACUGUGUGAUUCUUUCUACUGUUACAAGGAAUAAAAGCCUUCCUAAAAAGGUCUUUGGUGCCUUUAUUAUUUUACGGAUCAUUUCUGAGGGAAUUAUUGAACUUCAUUAUGUAACCACCCCUUGGGUUCACCUUGCCCACUGCCUAGACAGAGCCAAUUUAUCCAGACAGGAGAAUUGCAAUGGAGAAAGAGUAAUUC